ensembl:snoRNA
GAUCAAUGAUGAAAAUAUCCUAAUCUGAGCAUCAGAGGCCUUCCAGUCUGUCUAAUGCAUGAUCUUUAUAAUUCUAAGA